CAGUCGAGCGGAUGAGAAGAGCUUGCUCUUCGAUUCAGCGGCGGACGGGUGAGUAAUACCUAGGAAUCUGCCUGGUAGUGGGGGACAACGUUUCGAAAGGAACGCUAAUACCGCAUACGUCCUACGGGAGAAAGCAGGGGACCUUCAAUUUCCGGGUUUCCCAAAGGCUUUCCCACGGAUUAGCUAGUUGGUGAGGUAAUGGCUCACCAAGGCUACGAUCCGUAACUGGUCUGAGAGGAUGAUCAGUCACACUGGAACUGAGACACGGUCCAGACUCCUACGGGAGGCAGCAGUGGGGAAUAUUGGACAAUGGGCGAAAGCCUGAUCCAGCCAUGCCGCGUGUGUGAAGAAGGUCUUCGGAUUGUAAAGCACUUUAAGUUGGGAGGAAGGGCAGUAAGCGAAUACCUUGCUGUUUUGACGUUACCGACAGAAUAAGCACCGGCUAACUCUGUGCCAGCAGCCGCGGUAAUACAGAGGGUGCAAGCGUUAAUCGGAAUUACUGGGCGUAAAGCGCGCGUAAAAUUGGGGCCUUUAAAGGGCCAAAUUUCCCGGAAUUUCCA
rnacentral:rRNA from 1 species